GGGCCUAUAGCUCAGUUGGUUUAGAGCGUCCGCCUGAUAAGCGGGAGGUCGGUGGUUCGAUCCCACUUAGGCCCA
rnacentral:tRNA from 1 species